UACACAGGAAUAAGGUCAACAGUUCCCAUUCACCAGGCAGGGUAGCAAGGCAGUAUAAGGUCAACAGGUUCAAAAUAUAAGGUACACAGGAAUAAGGUCAACAGUUCCCAUUCACCAGGCAGGGUAGCAAGGCAGUAUAAGGUCAACAGGUCCAAGAUAUAAGGUACACAGGAAUAAGGUCAACAGUUAUCAUUCACCAGGCAGGGUAGCAAUGCAGUAUAAGGUCAACAGGUCCAAAAUAUAAGGUACACAGGAAUAAGGUCAACAGUUUCAAUUCACAAGGCAGGGUAGCAAGGCAGUAUAAGGUCAACAGGUCCAAGAUAUAAGGUACACAGGAAUAAGGUCAACAGUUCCCAUUCACCAGGCAGUGUAGCAAAGCAGUAUAAGGUCAACAGGUCCAAGAUAUAAGGUACACAGGAAUAAGGUCAACAGUUUCCAUUCACCAGGCAGGGUAGCAAGGCAGUAUAAGGUCAAGUCCAAGAUAUAAGGUACACAGGAAUAAGGUCAACAGUUAUCAUUCACCAGGCAGGGUAGCAAGGCAGUAUAAGGUCAACAGGUCCAAGAUAUAAGGUACACAGGAAUAAGGUCAACAGUUAUCAUUCACCAGGCAGGGUAGCAAUGCAGUAUAAGGUCAACAGGUCCAAAAUAUAAGGUACACAGGAAUAAGGUCAACAGUUCCCAUUCACCAGGCAGGGUAGCAAGGCAGUAUAAGGUCAACAGGUCCAAAAUAUAAGGCACACAGGAAUAAGGUCAACAGUUCCCAUUCACCAGGCAGGGUAGCAAGGCAGUAUAAGGUCAACAAGGAUAACAACUUCAAGGUAUUAGGCAGUGUACAGCAAACAAUCUCUUCAGGGAGCGCAGCAAACAAGGCGGUAUAAGGUAAGAGGAUCGACACUAUAAUUUGAAACUGGCCUAAAGGGAAGUGGCGGCUGGAGAGGAAACGAGAGGUGUUGAGAGUGUGUGGCAAGGUGCGGGGCUAGGCUAACCCCGCAGCCGCCACUACCCCAUAUACUAUAGCGGAGAUAACAGCCAUUGGUAACGAUCGUAACAAACAAGACUGUGAAAGCGGCCCUUAAUCACCAAAGCAUAGCAUAAGGUAGAGUUCUCAUUUAUCAUUCAGUGUGACGUAAACAACCCCAACGCAGUGUAAUGUAAACAGCUCCUUCGUACAGUCCAGCAAGGUAGAGCAAGGUAAUGAGUGUUCGGUUAACCCGGUAGCAGCGACGGGCCAAAUGUGUGGCUUUACCGUGUAGCAGCGACGGGCCAAAUUUGUGGCUUUACCGUGCAGCAGUGACGGGCCAAAUUUGUGGCUUUACCGUGUAGCAGUGACGGGCCAAAUUUGUGGCUUUACCGUGUAGCAGCGACGGGCCAAAUUUGUGGCUUUACCGUGUAGCAGCGACAGGCCAAAUUUGUGGCUUUACCGUGUAGCAGCGACGGGCCAAAUUUGUGGCUUUACCGUGUAGCAGCGACGGGCCAAAUUUGUGGCUUUACCGUGUAGCAGCGACGGGCCAAAUUUGUGGCUUUACCGUGUAGCAG